rnacentral:rRNA from 1 species
GACGAACGCUGGCGGCGUGCUUAACACAUGCAAGUCGAACGGAAAGGCCCUGCUUUUGUGGGGUGCUCGAGUGGCGAACGGGUGAGUAACACGUGAGUAACCUGCCCUUGACUUUGGGAUAACUUCAGGAAACUGGGGCUAAUACCGGAUAGGAGCUCCUGCUGCAUGGUGGGGGUUGGAAAGUUUCGGCGGUUGGGGAUGGACUCGCGGCUUAUCAGCUUGUUGGUGGGGUAGUGGCUUACCAAGGCUUUGACGGGUAGCCGGCCUGAGAGAGUGACCGGCCACAUUGGGACUGAGAUACGGCCCAGACUCCUACGGGAGGCAGCAGUGGGGAAUAUUGCACAAUGGGCGGAAGCCUGAUGCAGCAACGCCGCGUGCGGGAUGACGGCCUUCGGGUUGUAAACCGCUUUCGCCUGCGACGAAGCGUGAGUGACGGUAAUGGGUAAAGAAGCACCGGCUAACUACGUG